UACGUAGGGGGCAAGCGUUGUCCGGAAUUAUUGGGCGUAAAGCGCGUGUAGGCGGCUCGAUAAGUCUGCUGUGAAAGUCCAGGGCUCAACCCUGGAAUGCUGGUGGAUACUGUCGAGCUCGAGUCCGGAAGAGGCGAGUGGAAUUCCUGGUGUAGCGGUGAAAUGCGCAGAUAUCAGGAGGAACACCCGUAGCGAAGGCGGCACACUGGGCCGAUACUGACGCUGAGUGCGCGAAAGCCAGGGGAGCAAACGGG
rnacentral:rRNA from 1 species